CCUUCGGGUUGUAAACCGCUUUUGUCAGGGAAGAAAAGUCUCGAGCGAAUAACUUGGGACGAUGACGGUACCUGAAGAAUAAGCACCGGCUAACUACGUGC
rnacentral:rRNA from 1 species